rnacentral:rRNA from 1 species
AUGGUGUGUGUGCAUCUGGGUAUAAAAGGCCCUCCGCUGUACUGCUCGUGUGUGGGUGUGGGUUCGAGUUCGUGCUCGAGGAAGAAGUCGAUCGUGCGGCAGGCGUAUGUGCGCCGGAAAAACACCACCGUGUCCUGUGUCUCCUCUUUCUUCUACCUUCAUUCGUGCGAGAGAGAGAGAGAGCGAGAGGGAGCUGGGCACUGGCGCAAAGAGCAAGCUAGGGCUCGGCGCCAACCCCGCCGCGGACAAGACGGCGGCGAGCAUGGCGGCGAUCAGCUGAUGCUCACUAUGGCGCAGUGGCGGGCACGGGAGCGGCAUCAGGGAGGAGCGCAUGACGACGACGACGGGCGAAGCGUGGCGUCAGGCAACGGCGGCAACCGACGCGGGCGCUGCUACAAUUGCGGCGAGCGUGGGAACUUCAAGCGCGACUGCCCCAGCUGCGGAGCGCGCACUGAUGGCGGACGCCGGCGUUGA